UACGUAGGGUGCGAGCGUUAAUCGGAAUUACUGGGCGUAAAGCGUGCGCAGGCGGUUUUGUAAGCCAGAUGUGAAAUCCCCGGGCUUAACCUGGGAAUGGCAUUUGGGACUGCAAGGCUUGAGUGCGGCAGAGGAGACUGGAAUUCCUGGUGUAGCAGGUGAAAUGCGUAGAUAUCAGGAGGAACACCGAUGGCGAAGGCAGCCCCCUGGGCCAACACUGACGCUCAGGCACGAAAGCGUGGGGAGCAAACAGG
rnacentral:rRNA from 1 species